UUAAUAAUUUUAUCCGAUUGUGCCUAGUUAUGAAAAUUAUUCGAAAACAUCAUGUGACCUUUAUUUACAUCUGAUUGAAAAUAUCAUCGAUUAAAGAUAUGAAAUUUUUCAUAAUAUUAAUUACCUUUAUUUUUGCCAAACCUACUAACUCAAUAAAAUGUUAUGAAUGUAAAAGUCCAAAAAACGAGUCAUGUAUUACAGAUUACACUUCUUUUUUAGUUAAUUGUGAUGUAGAAGGUAGAUCAAUUAAUAAAACAGAUAGAAGAACUUGCAGAACUGUUACAACUAUUCUAAAAAAUAACAAACAAAAGUACAUUUAUAGGUAUUGCAACUGGAUGAUUGAUAGUUUUAAGCCUAUAGGCUGCUUCACAACAACCAGUGCUAGUGGGGAUGUAAAAGCUACCACCUGUACCUGCGAUACGGAUGCAUGCAACUCGGCACACUUCUACUUAAAUUCAUUUUCGCAAAACAAAAUAAAAUUUAUAUUGACCACUAUAUUCAUGCCUUUUUUAUUGCUAUAUUCUCUUUUAUAAUUAAAUUUCAUACGUAAUAUACUUUUUUUCAUUCCUACUCAAUGCAUAUGGUAUUAAAUUUGUAUUUGGAAAAUUUUAAAUAUAAAACACAGGUAUAUUUUCUUUAAAUCGAUUUAUUAAAAUCUACUAGAAAAAUGCAUUAAUAAAGAUUAGAAAUUAAUAGUUUAUGAAAUAUAUAAUCAUAUUUUACCAGGAGUGGAGGGGGAAGAAUGAUUUCUUAACAAAUAAUAAUUUUUAGAGAAAAUUAUUAAAGUUUUUCUCUAAAUAGUCCGAAAUCAUUUUUUUUAUUUGAAUGGAUUGCGAAACUAUAUUUCCAAUAUGUUUUAAUUAUUUUAUGAAUGUUUAGACUCUACUUUGGAUUGUCCUAAUCAUUUUUUUAAAAGAAUUAUUUUACUAGUCCGAUUAUUCAGAAUCGUUAAAUAUCUUUUUUACAAAAACAAAUUUGUAAUCUCAUAUACAUAUAAUAUGUUUAACUUGCAAAAUGGAUUAUAUUGGUCUUUUUCCUUCAUUAAAACCUUGCAAUUAUUUUGAAGAAAUUGUAUUUUUUUUAUUCACGCGACUUAUUG